GCGUGCAGCUCCCAGAAACCUGGCAACAGGACUGCAUUGUAGAAUACUAGACUGUACUACUCAGAAUCCUAUAGGUAUGUGCUACUGAUACCGCCGUUUACCGGUAACGAGUUCUGCUCCUUCUAAUGUUGAAGAUUGAACACUAGAGAAGCACGCCAAGGCAAGCAUAUGAAGCAGGUUUUAUUUAAAGUACCGAGGAUGGAGCCCAGGACUUCAUGCGUCCUAGGAAUGCCAGAAGGGGGUGCAUGUGCACUUCUGAACUGCAGCAUCCUGUGCUAAGCUCCAGUGGAUACCAGAGGAUACAUACCACCUCCCUGGACCUGACUGUGUAAUAAUGCAGAUAUGGUGGUGAGAUAAUACCGAUGCAUCAUCCAUAUGCAGUCUCUUAAUGCAUUAUCUCUAGUGACCUUUGAUGCUAAUGUGUCCACAUGUGGCCUCUGAUACUAGUACUCUGUCCUUAGAGUGACCUUGAACAUUAAUACAACAGCUGCUGUAUGGUCUUUAAUGUUAAUAUAAUGUCCACACUGUGACCUCUAACAUUAAUAUAUCCAUUCUGUGUCCUCUAAUAUUAAUAUGAUGUCCACACUGUGACCUCUAGUACUAACAGUACCCAUACUGAAGCAUGUAACACUAGUGUAAUAGCUUCCUUGUGGACUUUGAUAUUAAUAUAAUAUCCACACUUUGGCCACUAAUACUAAUAUAAUAACCACAUGGUGACCUCUAAUACUUAUAUAAUAUCCAUGCAGUGGCAUCUAACAGUAAUAUAACAGGUACUCUGUGGCUUUUUAUAUUAAUAUAAUGUCCACAUUGUGAGCUCUAACAAUA